rnacentral:tRNA from 1 species
AGUCUUAAUAGCUAAAAGGCAUAGCAAUUAA